ACACUUAAAACGAACAUGAAUCCCAUUUUGCUCCUAAGCACAACUUGCCCAGUACCUUCACCCACACACACCACUCACACGAUAACAACUACCACGACAGACUGCCAAAGACCGUCUUCCACAACCGACAGACCACCAGGGUAAUUCAAACUCAUGAUUGUGACAAAUAGCUUGGUGAAAGUGAUGCACAUAACCUGUUCGAUAAAUUGUCUGAUAGAGAAAUUUAUUUGUCGGUGAAAUCUAACUAAAAUCUGAGUAACCGUGUGACAUUAAGAGAUGCAUAGAAGUCAACUUUGGUGUGUGGUCCGGAUACGAGAGGGAGUUUUGUCAGAAUUUGGUUUAAAAUGGCAUAAUGAUCUAAGCAAUUAGAAGACAAGGCAACCCCCAACAUCUUUCUUACUCGGUUGCAAAUUCUCAGUUUGAAGCGUGCGAGGCUAAAUUGAAACUAGCAAAGAAAUCGAGAAAUGGGCGCUAUAGUUGCAUUGAGGACAAGACAACAUUUUAACUUGGGGGAGGAGCUUAAAUUAUGAUGAUAUAUAGUUUGUCUUUGUGGAGUGAUGUAUUUGGAUUUGGUAGAUUGACUUUAUUUUGGCAGUUUUAUUUCUUUCUAUUACAUAUUUAUAUUAGUAUGAUUUUUUUUUUUAAUUAUUAGCUUCUUUAGUUUUUGUUAGGAAUAAAAGUGGUGUUGGAUGUGAUUUUUGUCCCUUGAUAAAUUUUGGCUUGCUUGGUAGAAACACAAUUUAAACCUUGGCAUAUGAAUUAUAGGUUUUUGAAAGGAUUCUUGUGGUGUAACGACCUGCUUGGUUGUUAUAGUCUUUUCGACACUUUUGACACACUUUUGACCCUUCCCCGAGCUUGGUUAGCUCACUUUUGACCUGAGGGGACCGUUGACAUGCUUUCCGAGGUGUUCGGGGUUGAUUUUGGUGACUUUUUGAGAAAAAUUGGCUUUAAGCAAAAAAGAGUUGACUCAAAGUUGACUUUUGGGUAAACAGACCUUUUUCGGAAAUCCGUCGAUUCUGAGAGGUCCGGAUGGUCAUUUAGAACUUGUGUGCAGAUUUGGUUCGGUUCCCAUUGCACUUAGGUGCAUUUUGUGACUUGGGUUGGGAAGUGGAAUUGAGGUAUUGGGGGUUGACUCAGUCAACGAUACCUCUGUUGGGAAUUCUAAGGCCACGGGUGCGUUCGUAGCGUGUUUUUAUAUGGGUCUGUGUAUGUGGGUUGUGAGCAGAUGGCCUUGGAAGUUAGUCGGAAAUUCGGGUUGAGUUGUCAAAUGGGAAUAGUUUCCUGGUGUUUGGUACCUGCUUUGGCGGCACCGCUAGAGUGGUAAUAUUGUCGCGGAAGUGGGUGACGGGCAGUUAGUUCAUUAAAUAAAGUGUUAAUGCCUUAAGUCCCUCAUUUAUUACCAUUCCGAAAAUUAAGCUCUUGGGAACAAUACUAGAGGAU